GGAUUUGGUUUGGUUAGACGUGCCAUUAGCCCCUGGAAAAAUAUCCAUCUGCAGGGGUAGAGUAGGCCUUUCGCCACCAGCCCCCCAAUCAUGUCACACAGUCCAAUCCCCCAAUCCCCUGCCUCUUCCGGUCUUCCCCAUGCCCAAUCCCCUCCUCCUCCCAGCUCCCACUGCCGCCACCUUCCUUCUCCUCCACCCAUCGCCCCUCCCCGUGCCUUCACCACUCUCAUCGUCAAGCGCGACAGCCGGUUGGGGACCGGUUCCUUCAGCCACGUCCAUCUUCAUCGUGUAGCGGCAAGAUGAGGGCGGCAAAGGCGGCGACGGCGGCGGACGGAGUUCCUUUGCGGCGCUCGCCGGGAGGACCACGACCUGCUGCGCCACGACGCCAAGCCCGUCCGGCGGGAGGGGCACGGGCUGCUGCGCCACGACGUCGAGCCCUCGACGUCGAUCCCGCCGGCGGAACGGCGGCCCGCGGCAGUAGCGCCGUCUAUUCCUGGAGCUGCCACCACGCGAUGUCUUAUCGCCCGGAGGAGAGUGUCGGUACUCCACAUGAGGUGACAGCUGAAGGAGAUUUCAAAGGACAGGAAGCACAUGGCAGUCUACCUGACUCUAGCCAGAACCUGCAGUAUAUUACUCCACCCAUCAAAUUGGUUGCUACCUGGUCGUGAUUGGUGUUCGUCUGCUUUCGAGAAAUAGUUGCAAAUUGCAUAUGUACAUAUGGUAGCUUUUCAGAAAUAUUUGUGUUUAUCUACAGAUCAUGUUUGUAAUCAUGAAAGAGCUUGAAAAAUCUAUGUUCUAUUUGGUCACAUAUGAACUGCUUCUUUAUAUUGAAAGAGUCAAUUUAUUCAUGUUUGUAGGCAUGUGCUUGGGUGUUUCUUGCAGUUUUUGGCCUGCUCUCCCUCCAUCUCUGCCAGUAGGCUCACAAGGUAUUGUGGAUUUCUUGCAGUUUUUGGCCUGCUCUCCCUCCAUCCCUGCCAGCCGGCGCACAAGGUAGUGAGGAAACCAACCACGGUGCAAAUUCCACUGGCCCUCCCAAGACAUGGAUACAUGUUAGGUAUGCAUCACCCUUCUGCUUCACUCCAAUUCAACCAAACUUGAGCACUCACAUUAUGUUUUACUCUUGGUUUAUUGAAUCAAUACCGUGGGAGAUGAUCUGGAGCUGCUAAUUUUGGGAUGAUAUGGUUUUAGCCAAGGAUCCAAGACAUUGGUGAUCUGAAGUGGCUACAUGUUUUUCUACAACUACCAUCCAGAUUUGCAGGUGUCCUUCGUUUGUCAAUCAUAAAACAGGUUUGAAAUUUAUGCAGUUCAUUGUUUUAUGUAUCUAUGGGUUUCAGUAAGUACUAGAUAUUUUUUCACUCACAAAUGUUGUUUCUGCUGUUAGAUUUAAUGUAUCCAUGUUUCUAGGUACCAGAAGAACUGUAGUUGCCAACAUUUAAUUGCAGCGGGUCAUGUCCAUUUGGCCUUUUGGUUUCUAUAAAACUUGAAACAGUAGAUAAAAGGUUGUAAUUAGGAUGACGAUAGAUAUAAAACAGUUCUGCUAGCUAAAGAAAGGGGAAAAACAAGCUGCCACUAGGCGCUGGUAGCAUUUGCAUCAAUUACUUUCAGUACAAUUUUUUUAUUAAUUAAUGUAUUCUUCAUAUCGACCCGCAACUUAGUCACACAAGGAACCCAAAGCCGAUGGAAGAAUAGGAAGGUACCCAAGAUCCCGAAGGGGCACAUACUGCAGUCUGGUAUCCAUGGUAGUGAUUCGUGCGGCAAACCCCACCUUUGAUGUCGCUGAGGUAUUUUAUCUGUCACCAAUGAACCUGAUUGGUACGGGUUUUCACUAUUUUCUACUUCUAUUUCCGUGUUACUGAUUUUUUACUUCAGAAUUCACAUAGCUACCCUUUCUUCAUGUGAACAAUAUGGUCGCAUACGGUUAGUUGAGGAGAUCAUGUAUAUUGUUGAUUCCCAAUCGAUUAUACCCAUCCUUAGACUAGAUUAUAUGCCUAACGGUUGUCCAAAUACCUCUAUUCUGACAUAUAUGAACUUCUUAUGAUCAUUUCAUUAAACAUAUUGUGGUGACUACUAAAUACUCAUGGAUGGCAAUAUAAAUGAAAAUACUUGAUAACCAGUUAGCUAAUAAUGUUCCUUAUGUAUCCUUUCCAUAUACCGGAAGAGGGUUGUAAGAUAAAUCAAACAAUACAUUAUAAUGACCCAAGGCCCCCGGAUAAUAGCAUGUAUGAAUGUUGGUGCCAUAGGUUUUGAAGUUUUUAUGUGGCUGGACAAACAUUAGUUAGUGAUAUAUAGCAAUGGAAUGUAAUUUCGUGCAUAUUUUUUUCUAGCCAUUGUUCUUAUUAUUUUUUCAUUUAUAUUUGCUCACGUUAGAGCUAUGGUAUUCGGAGGAGGGGGUACCACUACCCAUGGUCCGAGGUUGCAUCCAAAGGACAAGUAGAUUGUGUUUUCUGUUGUAGUUAUUUUUUUGAAAAAGUUAGGUUUUGUCUCUUGGCAAUAUAUCUUUGCUCCGUUUAUGAGUUACUUUGAAUGAUGCAUGCACUAUUGUAGUCAAAAUGUUUGUGACUAGAUUUUUAUAUCAACUAUGUUUGCUCAUGCUAAUAUUACUAUGCUUUUAUAUCAACUAUGUUUGCUCAAAUGAUCCAAGAAAAGAAUGAACAACUUGAAUGAAAGAUCGUUGUUUGAAAGCACUAGAAUUUUAAUAAAUAAUUUACCAUGUGUAUACAAUCUAAAUCAUUGGUUUAUGAAAGGAUUAUAACCCCAAAUCCAAUAUCAAAACUGAUUGUUGUGUUGCUUUAAUUAUGUGCAACCUGAUUGCGGUUCUACCAUGGUGAUGACGUGAAAUAUACCACCUUUUACUAGGCUUUAUUAUUCAAUAGUUAUACGUAAAAUGAUCUCAGUUUCUUGAGGCAUUAAUUCUUGCUGGCAGGGUUGAGUUGAGCAAAGUAAGACAUGUGGGGAGUGAGCUCCAACAUAAUUUUGGGGGAAUUACAGACUAUGUGAUCCCCGCCCAUUACUUAUUGCAGUUUUCGGUUCUAUUUCUAUGUAGGUUAUCUGUGUGCUAGCUGUAAGCAUUAUUUCUCUUUGUGUUGUGCGUAUAAUGUGACAAUAUAUGACACUCUACGGUCUCCACUAUUAUGCAGAUUAGUGCCUUAUUGGAAACAAAAGCCCCUAUAGAGUGUACGGGGCAAUGUGGCUACCUAUCCCUGAAAUGGCACAUAAAGAUCAGCUUUCCUACUUUGGAUCCAUAUUACUUCAAAAAAGUGUGGAUGGAUGCAGAAUGGAAGGGCAGAAGUAGGAUCAGGAUGAACAAUGAGGAGAUAUGAAGGCUACUAGAGCUGGGCCUCGAGCCACGAUAUAUUUCCCCAUCUGGCAGUGGCAAGCUGGAGCAUGUCUAUUUCUCUACGACAGAAGGCAGCAUGCCUCCCUGAUGGACAAGAAGAAAAGGGAUCAAAAGGUUAAGAGGACAAUCCCAAAGAACUAUUGUGCAUGUCCAAUGAAUGACAUUCUGUUAGCACAUACCAUAUUUGGUGUUCUGGUAGUGCGAUGGAUUAUAUUAGCCAGUAGUGGCGAAUGAGAAACCGAAGCGGAGGGCGCCGCUUGAACUGCAGCAGUGUCGCCUGUAGCUAGCACACUCUGGAUUGCCAUGAUCGAUCGCAACAGCCACCACACUCGGUUUGCUCAUUUGAAUUUUUAGGCUGGUGUUGGGUCUCAUACAGAUCAUAUCAAGUUUGCUCACCAAAACAAUUAAGCACAUUAAUGAAAAAAAAAUUGUUUGGUCCCCUCCCUUGUAUUCCCGUGACCUGGUACGUUAUCCAUCGAACAGCAACAUCAAAGAUGUCCAGGAUUCAUCUGUGCAGAGAGCUCUCCUCCUGGUUUGAUCUGGAGAGGUAUUUUUUUUUUCAAAAUGGGGAUCUGGAGAGUUUGGUUCAACCGUAAUUGAUGAUCCAAAGGAAUCACUAGCAUCAUCUAACAAAGCUUCAACUGAUAGGAGGUGAUAAGAUUGGGCGAGAUAGAAGAGAUCAUAAGAAAGAUGAUGAAUAUUACUGCGCUGCUCUUUAGCUUCAACUGCAACCUCGCUGAACCAAGGUGUCCUCGACAAGUGCGAGCCUGGCAAGGCCACUACCUCCACCCUUGCAUUGCCCUCGCUUCAGCUUCUGCAGGCAGUUCCAGGGCCCAAAUGCUGCUAAUCCAUUAGGAUUCUACAUGCCUAAAUUCAUUUACAGUUGUUUGGUGUUGUUCAAUAGAGUUACCAGGACCUCAAUGUGUCCAUUUGGAUUGAUUUCGUGGAAUUACGGAUUGGAUCUGCAGAUUCUAUUCAUGGUACAGGGAGGUAUAACUAUGAUAAAGUUCCGCUGCCAAAUAUUAUCAUUUUUUAUAUUUGAUUCAUGUUCUUUGCUGCCAUUUCCAGUAUCUCCACAUGUAUGUAGGUAUGAGGAAAAGGUCCUAAUACGCAACUUUGGAGAAGAGAUGAAUGGUGCUUAUCCUUUUCUAAUAUAUACAAAUUUGUAUGGGUUGCACGAGGUCAGGUAGAGUUUUUCCAGUUACUUCUGAAACAAUAAACUAUCCGGCAUGAUUUAUUUGCAGACUUUGCAUGUCACCAAAAUCAUUGAUUUAUCUAUACAGUGAAUAGAGGUUUGUUCUUUGCUUUUUUGUGUCUUUUCUCAUAUUUCGUAAGUUGUAUGUUUCCUUUUUUCAUUUCCAUAUAUUUUUCUGGUAGAGGAUAGUGAAUUAUAGCAUGUGUCUUCCUGUUUCUCAUAAAGGCAUGCCUCUUUGUUGAUGUUGCUGUUGUGCAGAUUCACACUAGCAUAAUUUAUAUUUCUUAUAAAUCCUGCUUUUCCCAAAUAACCAAGUGGAAUAGAUAUCAAGAUGCUUUCUAUUCACCUUUCAGCAUAGGAUCCUUCAGUUGACUGAAAAGUAUUAUCUGGCAGUUCAGCUUGAUCACGUCACAUCGAGGUUUGGCCUGGUCCUAAGAUCUAUAACUGGCAUUAAAUGAUGAGUAGCACGUCCUUCGUUUAAAGAAGCAAGUUCGUUUCAUAAAAAAAAUAAGAGCGGGUUGGUAUGCUUUGAUACAUAUGCUUGUUCACUUCAUUUUGUCUUGCAGUUUGCAACGUCGUGGAAUUUUGAGCAUCUUUUCCGUGGAAACUUGGUAAAUGAUGUUAUGCAUCUACUAUGCGGAAACUUGUGUCAUAAAUUGCUUUUAUCCAUCUUGCGGAAGUUUCAAAGAAAAACAUACUCUUAUAUUCAGAUGAUGUCCCAGUCCAUAGCUGCUUUGACCGUAGUGUUGCUGCUGCUGCCAAAUAUUCUCUGUAUUCAUUAAGUGUAGCGCUUCCUUUAGGAGAAACAUAUGAAAUCCCUGUAACCAAAGUGUGUAGCCUGUAACUGCAGAUCACAAGUUAAUGGUUACACAUCUGAAGAUGAAUAUUUUUUCAUGGAAAUGACAAACAUGUUUUUAAUUGA